ACGGAAGGCAGCAGUGGGGAAUAUUGCGCAAUGGGGGAAACCCUGACGCAGCAACGCCGCGUGCGGGAUGAAGGCCUUCGGGUCGUAAACCGCUUUCAUCGGGGAAGACAUCGACUGUACCCGAAGAAGAAGCCCCGGCUAAAUACGUGCCAGCAGCCGCGGUAAUACGUAUGGGGCGAGCGUUAUCCGGAAUCAUUGGGCGUAAAGCGCGCGUAGGCGGCUGUCCAAGCGGGGCGUCAAAUCCCGGGGCUCAACCCCGGGCCGCGCCCCGAACUGGGCGGCUUGAGUCCGGUAGGGGGAGGCGGAAUUCCCAGUGUAGCGGUGAAAUGCGCAGAUAUUGGGAAGAACACCGGUGGCGAAGGCGGCCUCCCGGGCCGCGACUGACGCUGAGGCGCGAAAGCUAGGGGAGCGAACAGGAUUAGAUACCCUGGUA
rnacentral:rRNA from 2 species